UAAAAGGGUGUGCCACUGGCACGAAUCACGUGACAAGACCUGCCAAAAGGGGUGAACAUGCCCAAAAGGGGGCAUGUUUGUCCAAAGAAUUGGAAGGUCAGCCUGGCAUGAAUGCAUGUCAGGCUGCCUGCCAAUCUUGCAGGCUGACCAACUAAGGGCAAACUAUGCAGGCAGCACCUUGAGCUUGACAUAAAUGCGUCUAAUAAUGCGCUCACU